CCGGCCUUCAGGAAAUGCACGGGCUGCCGCCCGAGGUCGCCGGGAACUCCAGGUGGGAUUUAAAACCGAGAAGUCUGCACAUUUGAAGACUUAUGCGGUAGAAGAAGUGAAUGACUCCUGUGUUUUCACUGUUUGGACGUUGCUAGAUCUGCAUGGGGAAAGACUUGUUUGUGCAGAGAAAAAGAAUAGCAGUGCCCACGCCAUAGGAGUGCCCCAAGUGGAACACACUGGAGUCCCCAAGACACCG